GUACACGCUGUGACUAGCAUAUCAAUAAGCGGAGGAAAAGAAACUAACAAGGAUUCCCCUAGUAACGGCGAGUGAAGCGGGAAGAGCUCAAAUUUGAAAUCUUAAAGGGUUUCCCUUUACGAAUCGUAGUUUAAAGAAGUGUUUUCUGUUGAGGUUUGGGUAAAAGUUCUUUGGAAUAGGACAUCAUAGAGGGUGAGAAUCCCGUAUUUGACCUUUACGUUCAACUUUGUGAUACACUUUCAAAGAGUCGGAUUGUUUGGGAAUGCAGUCCAAAAUGGGUGGUAAAUUUCAUCUAAAGCUAAAUAUUGGCGAGAGACCGAUAGCGAACAAGUACCGUGAGGGAAAGAUGAAAAGAACUUUGAAAAGAGAGUUAAACAGUACGUGAAAUUGUCAAAAGGGAAGCGUUUGACACCAGUGUUGUUUUUCUGAAAAUCAAUUAAAGAACUGUUUAUGCUAAGCUGUUUAGACUUUAUCAGCUAUCUGUUUAGUUUUGAGCUUUUCUUUAAUGCACUUUUCAGUUAACAAGUCAACAUCAAUUUCUUUUGCUGUAAAAAGCUUGAGGAAGGUGGCUUGAGAUUCGUCUUAAGUGUUUAUAGCCUCUUGCCUAUGCAGUCGGAGAGAUUGAGGUCUGCAGCGUAGAUCCUUCGGGGUUAAGAUAGCAUUUGUGCUAAGUUAUAGCAUUUUCAUAGACAACUUGAUGACUAUGAUUUAGUCUUGUAGCUUACUCGCUUAUGCUAUCUUUACCUACGCUUAGGAUGUUGAAGUCAUCGUAUCGCGC
rnacentral:rRNA from 1 species